AGCGAACUGGAAUCAGUUGGCCGAAAAGUAGCAUUAAGCAUUCAGAGUGUUUGAAUGAAAGCUAAUUGAAAUCAGCUGGCUGAAAAAUAGCGUUGUUGUAGUUGUAUUGAAUUAAUCCAUGAAAAUUAGUCUCUGCUGCCUAUAGGACAGACGGAAGGAACUCUUCAUGCCAACUUCCUUCUAGAAUCAGUGCAGGAGCAAGAAACUGGGCGCAGGACGAGGGGCCGAGGCCGACCCCGAGCCCGCAACCGCAGUCCAAAGACGGAGCCCACAAAAUCCUUUGAUCUCUGCCUGAUAAACCGCCCCCAGACCCAACAACACCACACAUCCCUAAAAAAAAAACACCACACGCGAGAGAAGACGACCGUAGUCCGCAGACGAGGAAGGGAUUAAAAAACUGUGCCCGUUUCAAAACGCUCGCUUGCGCGGAAGAAAAUCCCGCAGGCGAGGCGAGGCGAGGGUGCUUCGUCACCAAGGGAAGGGAAGGGAAGGGAAGGGAAGGCAGAGUCUGCCGCAUAUAACCAACGCUGCACCUGCACGCAGUCGCAGAAGAGCCGAACCGAAUCGAAUCGAAUCGGGGGAAUACCAAAAUCAAACCGCAACCAAUCCCCACCCCACCCUUUCCCUCCCUCACUCGCCCAGCCGCAGGCGCAGCGCAGGGCACCCAACCCACUUCCCUCGCAUCGCCACCCAACCCAAUCCAGGGCGGCACCGUCCCCGUGCGCGCAUUCUCGCGGUGGCCAUGACGGCGGCGCAGGCGCCGGAGCCGCGCCAGCUCAGCCUGGCCGACCUCAGGGCCGUCUCCGUGCUCGGCCGCGGCGCCAAGGGCGUCGUCUUCCACGUCGUGCCCGAGGGCGGAGGGGGCGACGUCGCCAUGGCGCUCAAGGCGGUCUCGCGCGAGGCCGCGCGCCACAAGAAGAGCGGCGGCAGCGGCGGCGGCGGCGGCGCCGGGGACGGACACCGGAGGAUCUGGUUCGAGCGCGACGUGCUCCUCGCCCUGCGCCACCCGCUCCUCCCCGCCCUCCGCGGCGUCCUCGCCACCGACGCCGUAGUCGGCUUCGCCAUCGACCGCUGCGGCGGCGGCGACCUCAACUCCCUCCGCCGCCGCCAGACCGAGAAGAUGUUCUCCGACUCCGUCAUACGGUUCUACGCGGCGGAGCUGGUGCUGGCUCUCGAGUAUCUGCACAGCAUCGGCAUCGUCUACCGGGACCUCAAGCCAGAGAACGUGCUGAUACAGGACAGCGGCCACAUCAUGCUCGUCGACUUCGACCUCUCCACGAGGCUCCCGGUUCUGCCGCCGGAGCAGGACGCCCCCAAACCGGCGCCCGUCCCCAGCUCGCCGUCCCCGAACAGCGGGAAGCCCAAGAAGGCGGCCAUGUGCUUCCGGUUUCGCUCGGGCGGCGCCGCGAAGCCGGCCGUGUCAGCGGACUCGCCGUCGCCGCCGUCCACCUCGCGGACGGCCUCCUCGUCCUCCGCCUCCUCCACGACCACCACCGGCUCCUCCACGGUCUCCGGCGGCGCGCGCACGCCGGCGGCCAAGUCGAACUCGUUCGUGGGCACGGAGGACUACGUGGCGCCGGAGAUCAUCGCCGGGAGCGGGCACGACUUCAUCGUGGACUGGUGGGGCCUGGGCGUGGUGCUCUACGAGAUGCUCUACGGGCGCACGCCGUUCCGGGGGCAGAACCGCAAGGAGACCUUCUACCGCGUGCUCACCAAGCAGCCGGAGCUGGUGGGCGAGAAGACGCCGCUGCGCGACCUCAUCGCCCGCCUCCUGGAGAAGGACCCGGCCAGGCGCAUCGGCGCGCGCGCCAUCAAGGCGCACCCCUUCUUCCACGGCGUCGACUGGGACCGCAUCCUCCGCGUGGCCCGCCCGCCCUACAUCCCCGCCCUGCCCCACGACGAGGACGCCGGCGAGGUGCUCGACGUCGAGAAGGUCGUCCACGAGACGUUCGCGGCCGGCGACGUCGAGGUCGCGGCGGCGGCGGCGGCGGGGGACGACGAGAAGAAGCCUCCGCCGGAGACGGGGACGGGCGGGGGCGACGACGGUGAGCGGAGGAUGGAUCCGUCCAAGGAUGGCGAUUUCUCCGUGUUUUUCUGAGGUGUUUUUAGAUUUUAGUGCUACGUCCUUCCCAGAAAAAAUGGGUUUGGCCAGGUUUAUUCUGUCAAUACGAUAUUUUCUUUUCGUUAGGAACUCGUAGUACAGAACAGUAAGUAUAUGGUGGGAUUUGGUGGACGGAUGAGUACAUAAUUAAGGAGGUAAUCGUGUGUUUAGACGAGUAGAGUAGUACGUUUUUGCUUUGCUUCUUGUCCACAUUUUUGGUGGAUACCUUGCUUUGGCCCGUACAUACAAGGAUUAUUGAGGCGAUCGAGUA